UUAUAAACUAUGAUAGGGAAAAGUAAAUUUAUUAGUUUUAAAAGAGAGUGAGGAAUGGUGAAAACUCAUAAACAUUGUAAAUUGAAACUCACCCUUGAGUUGCAGGCUGAAUUAAAGUAAGCUGCGCCGGCAUAAGUCGUUAUAUAUAUUGAGUAAUAAUUUGGGUGGUACCGCGGCAGAUUUUUCGCCCCAUAG
rnacentral:ncRNA from 1 species